rnacentral:rRNA from 1 species
UACGGGAGGCAGCAGUGGGGAAUAUUGCACAAUGGGCGAAAGCCUGAUGCAGCUAUGCCGCGUGUAUGAAGAAGGCCUUAGGGUUGUAAAGUACUUUCAUCGGGGAGGAAAAAACAAAACUAAUAAUUUUAUUUCUUGACGUUACCCGAAAAAGAAGCACCGGCUAACUCCGUGCCAGCAGCCGCGGUAAUACGGAGGGUGCUAGCGUUAAUCAGAAUUACUGGGCGUAAAGAGCACGUAGGUGGUUUUUUUAAAGUCAGAUGUGAAAUCCCUGGGCUUAACCUAGGAACUGCAUUUUGAAACUGAAAUACUAGAGUAUCGUAGAGGGAGGUAGAAUUCUAGGUGUAGCGGUGAAAUGCGUAGAUAUCUGGAGGAAUACCUGUGGCGAAAGCGGCCUCCUAAACGAAUACUGACACUGAGGGUGCGAAAGCGUGGGGAGCAAACAGGGAUUAGAUAC